GAUCCUGGCUCAGGAUGAACGCUGGCGGCGUGCCUAACACAUGCAAGUCGAACGAAGCACCUUUUAAGAUUCUUCGGAUGAUUGAUUGGUGACUGAGUGGCGGACGGGUGAGUAACGCGUGGGUAACCUGCCCUGUACAGGGGGAUAACAGUUGGAAACGGCUGCUAAUACCGCAUAAGCGCACGAAAGGACAUCCUUUUGUGUGAAAAACUCCGGUGGUACAGGAUGGGCCCGCGUCUGAUUAG
rnacentral:rRNA from 1 species